GCAUAUCAAUAAGCGGAGGAAAAGAAACCAACAGGGAUUGCCCUAGUAACGGCGAGUGAAGCGGCAACAGCUCAAAUUUGAAAUCUGGCCUCGGCCCGAGUUGUAAUUUGCAGAGGAAGCUUUAGGCGCGGCACCUUCUGAGUCCCCUGGAACGGGGCGCCAUAGAGGGUGAGAGCCCCGUAUAGUUGGAUGCCUAGCCUGUGUAAAGCUCCUUCGACGAGUCGAGUAGUUUGGGAAUGCUGCUCAAAAUGGGAGGUAAAUUUCUUCUAAAGCUAAAUACCGGCCAGAGACCGAUAGCGCACAAGUAGAGUGAUCGAAAGAUGAAAAGCACUUUGAAAAGAGGGUUAAAUAGCACGUGAAAUUGUUGAAAGGGAAGCGCUUGUGACCAGACUUGCGCCGGGCAGAUCAUCCGGUGUUCUCACCGGUGCACUCUGCCCGGCUCAGGCCAGCAUCGGUUCUCGCGGGGGGAUAAAGGCCCCGGGAACGUAGCUCCUCCGGGAGUGUUAUAGCCCGGGGCGUAAUGCCCUCGCGGGGACCGAGGUUCGCGCAUCUGCAAGGAUG
rnacentral:rRNA from 1 species